rnacentral:rRNA from 1 species
UACAGAGGGGGCGAGCGUUGUUCGGAAUUACUGGGCGUAAAGGGUGCGUAGGCGGCGUGGUAAGUCGGGUGUGAAAUCUCGGAGCUCAACUCCGAAAUUGCACUGGAUACUGCUCUGCUAGAGGGCUGGAGAGGAGAUCGGAAUUCACGGUGUAGCAGUGAAAUGCGUAGAUAUCGUGAGGAAGACCAGUGGCGAAGGCGGAUCUCUGGACAGCUCCUGACGCUGAGGCGCGAAGGCUAGGGGAGCAAACGGG